rnacentral:lncRNA from 1 species
UUUGUCACAACAGCUUGUGUCUAUGCUUCAUUUUGGCCUCACUGAAUUCAUUCUAGAAGAUGAGAAUAGGAUAAAGAUGUAUUAUGCCUGCCACCCUGAUCCUAAACACAUUAUAUGGCUAUUCUGUGACCCUGCAGCAGAAUGCACAAAUGGAUUGAGCAGUAUUGUCUACACACUGAUUGGCAUCUUCAUAUUUUCAGAGAUACAUUUUGUGCAAUCCAUCCUUUGCUAUGCCAAGCCCUACUCUUCCCCCAUCUCUUAUUUUUGAUUUUUCCCUCUCUCUUUUUUAACAAAAAACCAAAACAAAACAUUGGUGCUGCUUCAGUGCUGAAGAUGGAUUUACUUCUGCAGCCGAGAAAACAAACAAAAAAGCUUGCCCAUUCUGGGCUUCUGGGAAAUUCAGGACCUGGUUCUACGGUGAAAACCAAAACAAGCAAAAUAAUAAUAAUAAUAAACGUUGCUUCUCAGAAGUGUUUGGCC